GCCCUCAUAGUUCAAUGGACAGAACGCUAGCUUGCGGAGCUUGUAAUAGAGGUUCGACUCCUCUUGAGGGCA
rnacentral:tRNA from 1 species